AGUAAUUAUAAAUCUCAAAUCUCAAAUCAAUCAAUUCAUCUAUAAUUUGAAAAACUUGUCGAACUAAAAAAAUCUGUGGCCAACACUCAGCAUGCGACGUUGGACGAGAAAGCGGAUAAUAUCUGGAAAAGCAGAAGAGGUCAAAUUUGAAGUAAAACCAAGAAACUCUUAGCAUCUCACAGAAUCUCUCUCUUCUUGGCGCCGGAGUCUCAUCCAACACUCACAAUAAUGAAACUGAUAGUAAAGCUUCAUUCACAAUAAUCGAAAUGAUAGCAAGCAACAAAAAUCAUGUGCAUCUCAAUGUCCGCAGUCGAAUUAAGAGGAUUGCAAAUUAACAGCAUCUAUCAUCUAUUUGCUAAGAGGAUUUGGAAGAUUAAGCAAACCCUAUUAAGAGGAUUUAUAAAAAUACUACUCCCUUCUCCCAAAUAACUUCCUAACUUCUGUUUUUGAGCCAUACCCCAAAAAAUUUCCCCUUUCAUACACCACUAAUAAUAUCUCAUUUAAUUUUACUUUUUAAAAACUUGCUUCAACAAUCUACUACGCCACUUAUCUAUAUAUUGUUAUGUGCCUAACACUAGAUUAGCAACUAUGAGCUCUUGCAUCAUUAGCUCUUUUUUAUAUAAAAACAUAAGGCUACUAAUUUUUUAUUCUAUUUUAACCUUACCCAACAUGCUUAACCCAUUAACUCCGGUAGAGCUAAAUGAGUUUUCAAAUCUCAAUUACAACUCAUUAUUCCUCCCACUCUUUCAAUUCAAAUGCCAUGAUCAUAAUUAAAAUAAUCUCACAAUAGAUCAAUCAAUCAGAAUUUUAAAACCAGAAGCACGAUGCGAACUAAUGUAGAAAAAUCUCACGAAUUAUGUUCGGUGGCAGUUGAGCCGCGGCUGCUGCAUUUAGGCUAUUGGGAAUGGGCGGCCGACCGCAGCGAUAGCUUUUGCUGUUGCUGCUCGGCUAUAUUGGGAGGAGAGGUGGAGCGGCUAUUGUGGCCGAACGAAUCCGAGCCGCGAGCAGCGGCUGAUUUGGAGUAGGUUCGCGGCGGUAGUUCCGGCGAACGUUGGAGAUGGGGUGCACGACUGCAAGCAACGGCAGCGGCGACCUAUGGGCUGUCCACCGGAGUUUUAGUGAGAGAUGGAGAACAGAGGAGAGCGAAUAGAUGGAGGUGGUGGGAACUGACGGCGGCGAAGGCUUUUCUCCGUUGGCCGUCCGUAGAGGGAUCAAAAGAGAGAGCGAGAGGAUUCGAGAAAGAGCAAAGAACAAUCCGGGAAGGUUUCUGUCAUUGAGGGGAUGAGAGAGACUGAUUUAUUGGGCUCAUAGUUUUGGUAUAUAAUAAAUUUAUGUGAUGGGC
rnacentral:lncRNA from 1 species